ensembl:lncRNA
CAAUCUGUCAACAUCAGACUGGACAUCAGACUGAACAUCAGACUCAGCAUCAGACUGAACAUCAGACUCAGCAUCAGACUGAACAUCAGACUGAACAUCAGACUCAGCAUCAGACUGAACAUCAGACUGAACAUCAGACUCAGCAUCAGACUGAACAUCAGACUCAACAACAUGGUGUGUAUCAGACAGAACCGCCAUGAAAGCCUGAUGAAUGUUAUCGCAGGUUUGUAUUACAGAUCAGACCAGGUGUGUGUGUGUGUGUGUGUGUGUGUGUGUGUGUUUAGGUGCUGAAGGUGUCGCCCCUCAGCCUCCAGAUCACAAUGCAGCUGUGUUUACGCAGAGGACCCGAAGGUCCAGCGCAGAUCAGGGGUUCUAAUGCACUAACACACACACACACACACACACACACACACACACACACACACACACUGGACCGAGUCCUGAACUCCGAGCCUCCAGAUCCUGACUCCUAAAACACAGUCCGUAAACAACUUUUUGUUUAUUACAGAACAACACAUCGUAAUUUUUAUCCGUUUAUAGUUACAUUUAAAGGUGUACUAGGUAAGAUUAGUCCAUUUUAUACCACAUGUUUAGCUCUCUAACCGUUUAGUUAAAAUGUUUGAAAUAUAUUUUUUUUAAACUUCUUGAAACCACACACACCCCCACCUAUUCCCGCCCAUGAUCACAAAGCUCCGCCCCCAGGACCUACACACAAACAAGCAUUCCGGACCAGAAAACAGUUUUCCUAUUAGAUUUCCUUUAAAGUUUAACCUUUAAAGUGAGUUCCUGUUCUCUCUUACGUUACAGCAGCCGUACACCGCUGUUCCUGUGAAUGAACUGUUACUAUAGCGACGAUAACGUAUUACGACGAGUGUGUGAUAAUGUUCGUUAAUAUUCAUUAAGUAGCUAAAACAGCUGUCUAGCACCACACGUAGCUCACACUCUUAAAAAUAAAGGCUCUUCUCUGGGUCUUUACAGCACCAUGGGAACCAUCUUUCACUGCAGGGCUCCUGAGCUGAGCUGUACGGCUCCGUGGAGAUUAAAGAGGUUCGUUAUGUUUCGUUAUAGGAUCUUCAGAGCAGUGUAUUGGAUCUUCAAGGUAUCAUCGCUUAACACAUUAACAUGAACCAUACUCUAUAGGGUUCUUUGUGGGACUGGAAAAGGUUCUCCUCUCAGGCAGCACUCUUAAGAGCCUUACUUUGCUUCCUUAAAGCACUAACCAAGGGUUUUUUUUGUUUUGUUAGAGAACCGAUGAUAACAUGUUUGCUUGUGGCACUGCUGUGAAGAAAUAUCUUUACAGGGUUCUUUAAAGCACCAGUAAAUAGAAGGUUCUCUAAAGAACUUGAGAGUAAAAGGUUCCUUGUGCAACUUAAAAGGGUUCUCCGAUGGAGCCUGGCUGAAACCCGACGGAGAACGGAGGGCGGAGCAGGUGUGACGGGUCUGAUCGUACAUGGGAUGAGCGAGAGCUCAGAAAGGAGACCAGUGUGUGGUACAGGAGUGGAUCAGUAGAACCCCGAGGUGUCGG